rnacentral:rRNA from 1 species
CUGUACUAAGGUAGCAUAAUAAUUUGCCUUAUAAAUUGGGGCUAGAAUGAAUGGUUUGACGAAAAUUUGACUGUCUCUGUUUUAUUUAUUAGAAGUUAAUUUUUAAAGUGAAAAAGCUUAAAUGAUUUAAAGGGACGAAAAGACCCUAUUGAGCUUAUAUUAUUUUUUUAAAGUUAUUAUUAAUGAAAUAAGAUUUAUUUAGGAUAAUUUUGGUUGGGGUGAUCAAGGAAUGGUAAUUAUUAGAAUAGUAAGAAAUAACUUCCUUAGGUUUAUAAUAUUUAUAGGGAAAUAAACCAAGUUUUUUGCUUAGAAGAUAAGUUACCAUAGGGAUAACAGCGUAAUUUUCUUUGAGAGUUCAUAUUGAAAAGAAAGAUUGCGACCUCGAUGUUGGAUUAAAGUUAACCUUAAGGUGUAGAGGCUUUAUUAGGUAAAUCUGUUCGAUUUUUAAUA